CAUGCAGUCGAGCGGAACGAGUUAUCUGAACCUUCGGGGAACGAUAACGGCGUCGAGCGGCGGACGGGUGAGUAAUGCCUAGGAAAUUGCCCUGAUGUGGGGGAUAACCAUUGGAAACGAUGGCUAAUACCGCAUAAUGCCUACGGGCCAAAGAGGGGGACCUUCGGGCCUCUCGCGUCAGGAUAUGCCUAGGUGGGAUUAGCUAGUUGGUGAGGUAAGGGCUCACCAAGGCGACGAUCCCUAGCUGGUCUGAGAGGAUGAUCAGCCACACUGGAACUGAGACACGGUCCAGACUCCUACGGGAGGCAGCAGUGGGGAAUAUUGCACAAUGGGCGCAAGCCUGAUGCAGCCAUGCCGCGUGUGUGAAGAAGGCCUUCGGGUUGUAAAGCACUUUCAGUCGUGAGGAAGGUAGUAUAGUUAAUAGCUGUAUUAUUUGACGUUAGCGACAGAAGAAGCACCGGCUAACUCCGUGCCAGCAGCCGCGGUAAUACGGAGGGUGCGAGCGUUAAUCGGAAUUACUGGGCGUAAAGCGCAUGCAGGUGGUUUGUUAAGUCAGAUGUGAAAGCCCGGGGCUCAACCUCGGAAUAGCAUUUGAAACUGGCAGACUAGAGUACUGUAGAGGGGGGUAGAAUUUCAGGUGUAGCGGUGAAAUGCGUAGAGAUCUGAAGG
rnacentral:rRNA from 1 species